rnacentral:rRNA from 1 species
UACGUAGGGGCCGAGCGUUGUCCGGAGUUAUUGGGCGUAAAGCGCGCGCAGGCGGCUUCGCGCGCCCGACGUGAAAGCCCCCGGCUUAACCGGGGAGAGUCGUUGGGGACGGCGGAGCUUGAGGGCGGGAGAGGUCGGUGGAAUUCCCGGUGUAGCGGUGAAAUGCGUAGAGAUCGGGAGGAACAUCGGUGGCGAAGGCGGCCAUCUGGGACAACACUGACGCUGAAGCACGAAAGCGUGGGGAGCAAACAGG